rnacentral:misc_RNA from 1 species
GUGAAAUCACUCAUUUGUAGGAUCGAUUGAUUCUCCUAUUAUGAUGUUUCAGAUUGUAAUAAUGCAAUUGCAAGAUUGAUAACGUAGAAAGCAUAAGUUAAUUACAGUAUAUCACAUUUAGAGGACGAAAUAGGGAUCAGAGAUGCGAUCAUUCGAAACGAUGUUGUCGAGGAGGGAUUAGACAAGCCCCCACUCUCGCAAGUACUCCUGCC